CGCGGCCUAUCAGCUUGUUGGUGAGGUAAUGGCUUACCAAGGCUAUGACGGGUAUCUGGACUGAGAGGUCGAACAGACACAGGGGCACUGAGACACGGGCUCCACAUCUACGGAUGGCAGCAACCAGGAAUAUUGCGCAAUGGGGGAAACCCUGACGCAGCGACGCCGCGUGGAGGAUGAAGGCUUUAGGGUCGUAAACUCCUUUACUAAGCCCCUCACGGCUUAGAGAAUAAGCACCUACUAACUACGUGCCAGAAGUCUCGGUAAUACGUAGGGUGCAAGCGUUAUCCGGAUUUACUGGGCGUAAAGAGUGUGUAGGCGGUCUACCAAGUCGCAAUUUAAAGCCCGGGGCUUAACCCCGGGUUUGGUUGCGAUACUGGCUGACUCGAGGAUUAUUGGGGGUACUGGAACAGUUGGUGUAGUGGUGAAAUACGUUGAUAUCAACUGGAACACCGAAGGCGAAGGCAAGUACCUAUGAUUUUCCUGACGCUGAGACACGAAAGCUAGGGUAGCGAAACAGAUUAGAGACCUGUGUAGUCCUAGCCGUAAACGAUGGAUGCUAGCUAGUGUGCAAGCACUGGCGUAAGCUAACGCGUUAAGCACCCCGCCUGGGGAGUACGG
rnacentral:rRNA from 1 species